GACAGCAGUCGCCACGGUAAUACGUAGGGCGCGAGCGUUGUCCGGAAUUAUUGGGCGUAAAGGGCUCGUAGGCGGCUUGUCGCGUCUGCUGUGAAAAUGCGGGGCUUAACUCCGUACGUGCAGUGGGUACGGGCAGGCUAGAGUGCAGAAGAGGAGAGUGGAAUUCCACGUGUAGCGGUGAAAUGCGUAGAGAUGUGGAGGAACACCAGUGGCGAAGGCGACUCUCUGGUCUGUAACUGACGCUGAGGAGCGAAAGUGUGGGGAGCGAACAGGAUUAGAUACCCCCGUAGUCCCUGUCUCUUAUUC
rnacentral:rRNA from 1 species